UGUGAUGUGUCUUUGAGAGGUAAACCGGAACCCAAUCUGAUAGCUGAGCCACUUGGGUUGAUUCUUUGCAAUUGACAUUCUCCUUGAUGUCUGGUUUGGCCAUAUGUCAAAGAAUAUGCCCGUGCAAGGAUGCCUCAGCAUCUCUCAUUUUAGAUGCUCAGAUGCGUCAAGGUUCUCUGGUGACUUGCCAUUUCUUUUUGAAACCUUCUACUUUUGCAGGACUAUGUCACGCUGGGUACUACUGUGAAAUGGCAUCCUCUCGCCCUGACCAGAAGCUCUGCCCCCCAGGGUUCUACUGCCCCAAAGGCACAGGGCUUCCAGUUCCAUGUGUGUCAGGAACCAUCAAUCCCCACUAUGGGGAGUGGAAUGCCUCUGGCUGCAAACUCUGUCCGGCUGGGCAUUUCUGCAGUGGACCAGGAAGGAUUGUUCCAGAAGGGAAAUGUUCCCUGGGUUAUUACUGUCCGUCAGGGCAGAUGUCUGCCACACCUGCCUCCCUGCGGUGUCCACGUGGCUUUUACUGCCUUGAAGGAUCCGUGGCUCCAGUGGCUUGCCAGAAGGGAAGCUACCAGCUGGAAGAAGGGAAAGGAUCAUGUGAACUUUGUCCAGUGGGAUUCUUUUGUGAGCCUUUCAAUGAAAGUGUUGCAAUAUCAGUUCCUAGCCCAUGUAUCCCUGGGCAUUUUUGCCCCCUGGGAACCACAUCUGACACAGAACACCCAUGCCCCAAGGGAACAUAUGGACCGAAAGCUGGUGCCACUCAGGAAUCUGACUGUGAAUCUUGUCCAGCAGGUACAGCGUGCAGACAGGCGGCCACUGUGGAGCCACGCGGCUGCCCUCGAGGUUUCUACUGCCCGCUCCAGACGGCCAGCCCCUUGCCAUGUCCGGCGGGCACUCUGAACACCCUUGAGGGAGCUCUGUCCUUCCACGCUUGCAAGCCAUGCCCCGUGGGGAGGUACUGCCGUCGGGAUGCAAACUGGGAACCUGAUGGUCUCUGCUCUCCCGGCUAUUACUGCGCAGGAGGAGCUUCUGCUGCUGUCCCACAAAGUACACCUGAUUUCCCCCUCAAUGGGCCCUGCCCGCAGGGCCACUACUGUCCAGAAGGCACCUUGUCCCCUGUUGCCUGCCCAGUUGGCACACUGAACAAUGCAACAGGUGAGUGCAGCCUGAUCUGGUCCAUUGGACUCCACUUUCAGAUCCUGUUGGCUGUCCCAGUUUCCUUUCUCUGGAUAUAGGAAGCAAGUUUGCUAUUUACCCUGAAAGGUUUGU
rnacentral:lncRNA from 1 species